rnacentral:rRNA from 1 species
CUGGAGGUAUCAGAAGUGCGAAUGCUGACAUAAGUAACGAUAAAGCGGGUGAAAAGCCCGCUCGCCGGAAGACCAAGGGUUCCUGUCCAACGUUAAUCGGGGCAGGGUGAGUCGACCCCUAAGGCGAGGCCGAAAGGCGUAGUCGAUGGGAAACAGGUUAAUAUUCCUGUACUUGGUGUUACUGCGAAGGGGGGACGGAGAAGGCUAUGUUGGCCGGGCGACGGUUGUCCCGGUUUAAGCGUGUAGGCUGGUUUUCCAGGCAAAUCCGGAAAAUCAAGGCUGAGGCGUGAUGACGAGGCACUACGGUGCUGAAGCAACAAAUGCCCUGCUUCCAGGAAAAGCCUCUAAG